rnacentral:rRNA from 1 species
CAGUAGCCGCGGUAAUACGUAGGGUGCGAGCGUUAAUCGGAAUUACUGGGCGUAAAGCGUGCGCAGGCGGUUAUAUAAGACAGAUGUGAAAUCCCCGGGCUCAACCUGGGACCUGCAUUUGUGACUGUAUAGCUAGAGUACGGUAGAGGGGGAUGGAAUUCCGCGUGUAGCAGUGAAAUGCGUAGAUAUGCGGAGGAACACCGAUGGCGAAGGCAAUCCCCUGGACCUGUACUGACGCUCAUGCACGAAAGCGUGGGGAGCAAACAGGAUUAGAUACCCGUGUAGUCCCUGUCUCUUAUAC